rnacentral:rRNA from 1 species
UACGUAGGGGGCAAGCGUUGUCCGGAUUUAUUGGGCGUAAAGAGCGUGUAGGCGGUUUGGUAGGUCCGUUGUGAAAACUCGAGGCUCAACCUCGAGACGCCGAUGGAAACCAUCAGACUAGAGUCCGGAAGAGGAGAGUGGAAUUCCUGGUGUAGCGGUGAAUGCGCAGAUAUCAGGAAGAACACCCGUGGCUAAGGCGGCUCUCUAGUACGGUACUGACGCUGAGACGCGAAAGCGUGGGGAGCGAACAGGG